CUGUGUGCAUUGCAUUUAUUUAAUACACAAGUUUCACAAUUUGAGUUGAAUUACUGAAAUAAAUGAACUUUUCCACAAAAUUCUAAUUUCUUUAUAUGCACCUGUAGGUCUGUGCACAUUUCUCAAUCUGACUUGUGUCCUCUGUAGUUUGGACUUCACAAGUUUAACUCGGGAUUGUGAAUUCCUGGGGAUGGGACAACGCGAGUCCAGGAUUUCUGCAAAUAGAACAGCAGCAUACUUGAUAAUGUCAGUCAGCUCGCCUUGGCUACUGCAGUUUACAGCACUGUAUUUAAAAUAAGCCCCUUUUUCGUUUUCAUUUAAACAUAGGCUAUUUAUAGCAACAGACAUAUAGUUUAGGUAAGGUACAGGUAAAGGACCCAUCUCUUUAACCUAGCUCAUACAUAACACACUAAUAUGCUUCUAAUAUCCAAAUCCAUUAAAUUAUUUUUAGGCUGCAUUAAUUAGGUAAACUGGAACUAGGAACACUUCCCAUAACACCCAAUGUACUUGCUACAUCGUUAGAAGAAUGACAUCUACACUAAUAUUGGUCUAUUUCUCUAUUAUUCUGAGGUCACCGUAGCCACUAGAUCCAAUCUGUACCCAGGUCAGAAGGUCAGCCAGAUCCAGCAGGUAUCCAGCCCAGAUGGUGGAUCAGCACCUAGAGAGGAGCACUGAACAGUACAGUACAGUACAGCACUGAAAGACAACAGAGACCAGGACAACUAGAUGAGCCCCAGAUACAGAUUCCCUGUAAAGACAAGACCACAGUUAAUAUAAUAAAUGUUGGACAGUAAAGGCAAGAACACAAUACAUGGACACUAGAUAAUAUGUAAAACUCAAAAAGCCAUGCUUUUUGGAGUUUGUCACUGAAGCAAAAAAAGCAUUUGCCAUACGAGAACAGACACCGUUAAGGUAACGGAUGACACCUCUACAGAAGUGGACGUGGAUGUAUUUCCUGAACUUGUUGCUGAAAUGGGCAUGUGCUUUAGUUUACAUACUAAUGAUGAUUCCACUUCAGCACGAGUUGUCCCCUCUUCUGACUGAUGGGAACUCUGUCAGCAAGUCUUCAACCUUUACUGAAUGCAAUGAAGGCAACAAAACCUCUGCAUUCCCUUCCAAAAGACCCAGGUUUCCAAGCUUGCAAAAGAGACCAUUGAAGACAUCCUAAAGUGCAAACCUGGUGGUGUAGAAGUGAUGCAGCACUAUAAAGACACUGGUAAUAUGUCAACAUCCAAAAGAAAGGAGAUGAUUAAUAUAUUGGUUGCACACAUCACUGAACAAGAAGGAAAUAUACCACUUAAGGCCACAAGAGAAAUGUAUGCCCUUGGGAUUAUUACCUUCUUUCCAAACCUAAAAGAUCCUGAAGGGAAGACAGGCUAUGAACAAUACUAUGAUGCACAGAGAGGCACAGGUUUUAUUAUGAAUCGCCUAAAGACAGUUCAGAGAAACACUAGUUGUAAAAUGUCCUCUCGAUCAAAUGAGAAAACUUGUGGCCCUAGAAUGGAGGAAAAUAUCUGCCUUACAGAUCAGCUAACAGAUGAUGAUUGCCAAGAAGCAAUCUCACUGCUUAAACACAGUACUGAUCGUGAUAUCAUCUUCUGGAAGAUGAAAGAAACUUUUCAGUUCUGUCAGGAGAUUGUAAAGGACCCAAAGAAGUCCACAUCCAUCUUUCACAUUUUUCCUCGAUUCCGGGACACCAAGGGUCUGGACUUAAAGCUCCAGUAUGUGAUUUUUGACCACAAGAGGGCGCAUUUCCAACAAUAUCAAAGGCGAAGCUUGAUGACGUUAUGAAGCAGGUGACGAUGGGAGAUGUCUUUUUAAAUGCGUUUUCACCAUAGCAAUGUAUCUAA